AGCCUGCCAGGAGGGGGGUUUAGGAAUCACUUACGGAGCCCAGGCUCCCCCAGCCUCCCUCCCGGAAUGCUAAUGCUUAGCUCUAAGUGUGAGGCACCCUCAGAAAAGCCUGAGCUAGCUCAGAUGUGGGAGGUGGACACAGGGGAAGCACCAGGAGGAGCAGGAAGAAGGAAGGGUCUGAGUUCCACUAAGCCCCACAGCUCAGGAGGGGAAGGAUUAGGAGAUGCUGCUGAGGAGGUGAGACCUGAAGCCUGCUGCCUCCCUGCUGGGAACCAGGCCGCCCUCUCAUCUCCCUCACAUCCUCUCCUCAGGCCUCUGGACCCUCCACAUCACCUGCUGCCCCUCAGUGAGAGGAAGCAGUGCACACCUGCUGCCGCCUGCUCCUCUGAGCAGGCGCGCACACACACACACACACACACACACACACACACACACACACGGUUGCUGAGUCUCUGGAAACCACGGUUCAGACUCCAGGAAGAAGUAAAACACAUAGAGCGUUCGGAACAGUGCCUGCCAUGAAACUCAGUGAGCGAGACCUAUGCACGGUGAGGCUGGAUGGUUCUAAGACCCCCCACUUUGUGUGGGAACCCUGCCUAAACCUGAGCCCUGCCUGCCUGCUCGUUCACCAGCUCAGAAUAGUUGUUGUGCAUGUUCAGGAUCCGAAGCACUAAAAUCCCUUUCGAGCUGGCCCUGCUGGGUCCCCUAAAUUCACCCCCCAAACAUACUUUCUUUCUCGUAGAUGUUAACUCUACAGGCAGGAUAAACACACUGGCACCCUGAAUGUGCUUUGACCCUUGUCGCUGCUGCAUCUUUGCCUGGCUGUUCCUUCAGCCUAGUCCCCAGUUACAUCUGUGGAAACAGCUGAGAUUCUUUAUAACUCAACACUAGGUGGUGCUCACCGGUUUCCACCAGGGCGCUGCCAAACUGCCCAGUGUUAGGAAGAAUGCUGUGCUCACAAUGGGGAUGCCUAGCUUCAGGGGCCCAUCUCGGCCUCCAGGGGCCAGCCUCCAGCUGGAGUGACUGCUGUCACCUGCAUCCCUUCUGAGUCCCUUUUCCAUUCAGACUCCCUCAGGGGGUAGCUUCAGUCCGGGUGGCCAGCAUGACCCACUCCAGAGAGGGGGUCUGUUCUGGGCCCACCACAGCCUGAUACUUACCGGCUGUUCUCCAACUCAAGCAGGAGUGCCUGGCCCUCAGACUCCAAGGCCACCAGCCCGGAGUCAGGCAUCCAGAUCUAGGCAAGAAGGAGUGACGGUCGUGAAGGGAGCAGGAGGAUGUGGAGCUGGCUGCUGAGAAAGCUCCUAAGGACAGCCAGCCCCGUGGGGUUAUGAGGGCCUGGGCAGGCAUGGGGCAAGGACAUGCAAAGAUCUCCCCAGACCUGGGGUGUCUGUUGUGACAACGGUGCAAAGUGCAUAAAGAGUGCCAGGGACAUCCCAUGUCUCCCAGAGGUAAGGCACCCCCCGGAAAGGUACCCUGCUUUACCCAGUGUUACUGGGCUUUCCCAUGGCGUGCCCUCGUCUUUUGCACCAGAAGGGGCAUGACCAGGAGAGGAAGACUAUGGCAUCUGAAGAACAUGGUGAGGGACACUGAGCAGCUGGGGCUCAGGCCUCUUCACAGCCUCUGUGCUAUGUGGGGACUUGUUUCUGUGUCUUUUAUUUUGAGGUGCUGGGGAUGGAACCCAGGGCCACACACAUGCUAGCCAAGGGCUUGCCACUGAGCUGUAGCCCCAGCCCACUGUGUCUGUACCUUGGGGGAACACAAUCCCUGAGAAUUCAGACUUUAUUCCUCCACCUCUCAUCCUGGCAAACUGCCCCAUCCUCCAGUUCUCCACAGCUCCAGCAAGCCUGCCCCACAUCUGAGCUCCCAGAGCAAACAUGGGCCAUCCCAGGCUCUCACUGCUAGAAAUCGAGAAGGCCUUCUCCCUACCGUCUUUGCCUUUUCCACUCCGUGAAGCACCCCAUCUUCCCCACCUUGUCCACUCAGCCUGGCUGGGGGCCCAGACUUGGAAACAGCUCAGAAGAUUCCUGGGGGACUGCUGCAUCUUCGGAAUGUUUGCCCCUGCCCUGGCUGGUGCUCCCCUUUUAUCCCAAAAUGCACUGGGCUGGGACCCAGGCCAGGGGGCUCAGAGUUGGGGGGGGGGGCUUCCUCUGCAGGUGGGAAACAGACAGCCCUCAUUUCCCCAGCCAGGCCCUGUGAGGUCCAAGUGUGAGCUCACUCGGCUGGAAUGCCACUGGUUUGUUGGGAAAAGUGUGCACUAGGAGGAAGGCAGUGGCCCAGAUGGAAGAGCACACUUGAGGUCCCCAUCCCUCUGCAGCCCUUGCAGCUUUCUCUGUUUGCCCUCCUGGUAAGCUUCCCCCUCCCCAUGUACCCAUCCCCCUCCUGAACUGCGAGCUUCCUGCCUUCAGACGAUGCCCUGCUGGAGCUGUUUCCUGCCUGGCCUCCCUCUCCUGGCAGGCUUCCUGGGGACAGAGCCAGAGCUGGCAAAGCAGGGCUCUCUGGGAUUCUCCUCUGGGUCACAGCCCAGGCCAGUUAGGGAGGCCCACGGUUCAGGUGACCCCGUAUGUGCCAGCCUGCCCCUCUGCCAGGGAUGUCCAGAACCGCAUCAAAGCACAGACCAGUUGAAUGGGGCCCUGAAGGUCUGGAGAUCCCCAGGGAAGACCCUAAUUCAGGACCCCCGGCUACAUGGAAGCACUCUCUGAUAUUUGUGCUUGCUGGACUUGGACAGUGGGCUGUGCUAGCUUCCUUGGAAAUGCAAAACUGAGUGUUUUCAGACCUCAGCAGGUCUCAGGUUUCUGGGCCCAAAGAGCUGUGUGGCUGUGGGCAAUUUUCCAGCCUUUCUGGGCUUCAGUUUGCCCUUCUGUGAAAUGGGCACACCAAGGCUAUUGGCUUCUUGGUUUGCAGUGCAGAUGCUGUGACCUGAACACCGUGUGAUGAUUAGGAGUUGGGAGGAGGCAGGACUGAUGUUCUGGAGAAGCAAACAGAGUGAGCCUGCACCUGGGGCGCAGGACAAUGACCAUUACCCCUGGCCACAAGUGGAUUCCACAGGAGGCAAUGAGGCUGACUUUUUGGGAUCCUCAGUGGAAGGGCCCUGGGAGGGACAAUAUUGUGUCACCUGCUCUGCAAACUCAGCCAAAGGAAGCUAUUUUGGUGUCUUUUUAAAGGGGCUCCUGAAGAGCUUCAGGCCCCCUAAACUCAAGGCCCAGCUCUGCCUGACGGGGUGGGGUAGUCUGAAUAAUGGUGGGGGAGGGAAGAGGGUGUGGACGAUGCUAGAAAUGACUUCCAUGUGUGCAGGCUGGCAACAUCUAGAUGCUUCUCCACCGCACCCCGCCUUCCCACCCAUGGGGAGGGGCAGAAAAGCUGCCAAGCUACCACUAAGGGAAGGCCAGAGGGGCUGGGAGACCCCAGACUCCUGCAGUGCAGGGGGUAACAUGGCACUGACCAGCUCUUCCAAAGUGACGGUGCUCCAGGAUCGUCCAUCCAGGAUCCAGUGUGGGGUGACUGGCUCUGCAGAAGUGUUCCCUGCAGUAAAGACGGCACAGACCCAGAUCUGCAGACCCUUUGCUCCUCCCAUCAUCUGCUACCAGGCUACACGGCAGUCACCAGCUGAUCAAGCACCAGCUCCUCCCAGGCCCUGGUUCCUUGUCGGUCGCCUUCAUUUGUUUUAACAACCUCUGGUACAUUGAAAACCAGCAAAAUGACAGGAGCUCACCUGUCACUGGAGAGGGGUGCUCUUGGAGCAAGCCCAGAGAUGGUAAGCACAUCUGUGUCUGUUCUUCACUGCUAAAGCUGGGGUGGGGUGGAAGGUGAGGAAAUGGGGCGCCUCUUCUUUCAAGGGCCAGCACUGGCCCAAAGACCUGGCAUGCCCUCACCCUAGAGAAUACCAAGUCUCAAUUUCUUUAGUGUUAUCUUGUGAGAGGGACUAAUUAUCUCUCUCAGGAAGCCCAAGAACGGAAUGGCUAGGCGCAUUGAGGUAGGUCAGUCCCAUCAGUAUCAAAAGUCCCAGGAUUGACUCCAUAGUUGAAAGCCCUUUGGAAACAAAAAUUCCAAAUGGACUCUGGGCUCAGAAUAAAAACUUCCUGCCCAGUUUCGCUUGCAGGUUGGUGUGCUCUGGUGAGCAAACUCCAGCUGAGGGGAAGGGAGGAAACUGACCCGUGCAGCUCCGGGGCUGUGCACACAAUGGGAACGGGUGAGCCUCCUGCCGUCCGCUUCCAUCCUUCCCUCUUCUGGAUGUAGGGAACAUGGACACAGUGGGGCCAUGUGAACCUCACUGUCUAAGGCAAUAGUUUAGGGAUGGGAAAAAGUAAGAUGAAAGGAGCCUGAGCCCCAACACCCUGUACCACCAUAGCAUAUCCAGACUAGAAGGGGAAAGAAAAAUAAAACUCUAUCCAUGUUGAAGCCACUGUAUUUGGUAUCAUGUUACAGAAGCCUGGCCUGUUCAUACACUGUCAGGCACAGAGUGCUCGGCAAGGCUGUGAAGACACAGACAGCCUUGUGUUUUGCAGUGCCUCCUUUGGAAGAGAGAUGGCGAAGGGAGGAGGUCCAGAGGAAAGACAGGCACAGACACAAGUAAAUGACACAAUCAACUCAGUUUUCUUGAGGAUUCCCUGGAAUCAGCACCCUCCUGGGUGGACGAAGCCUUUCUUCACCUCUUACCACCAUAAAAGAGUUGCAGCCAAGUCUUCAGAAGUCAGAUGUCACCAUGUCUUUUGCAAAGACGUGGCCAGGACCCAGCGCUGCCUGCUUCACAGUGCCUGGUUCAUCAGUAUCCUCCUCCUCCUCCUGAGGGCAGCAGCACCACCUGUCAGCUCAGCUGCUGAGCACGUGCCUGUGCGUGCUCAAUAAGCUUCCCACAAAGAAAGGCCUGGUCGUAGGCUGACUAUGGGCCCAACCAUGGUCCCUGCGCGCCCCGCUUCCCCAAGAAGAUUGGCAGAGUGGGCACAGCCAGAGCUCUGCCUCUGGCCCCUGAAGUCGCUCAUCUGCAGAGGGGGCACACUGUCAACCCUGCCCAGGUGACAGGCAGGCUCAGGAGUGUUGAAGAACUCAAAACAAAGGCAAAGGAAUCAGGAAAUGUGUCUUGGAACUGAGCCUGAGGCUGCUAAGACCAAAAAGCCACGCAGCCCAGCCCUGAGCAGAAUAUGGCUCUCUCUCACUCUCGCGGGGUCUUGGCCCCCUGCACUUCCUCCCCAACCUCCUUCUGGCCCCAGGCAUCAUCCCAGAUGCCAGCAGGGCACUGUGAACAAGCUGGCAUUAUGCCUGCACAUGCCCUUGUUUACGGAAUGCUUACCUGCAUGUCCCCAUGUCCCUCGGAGAAGUUCAUCUCCAAAUUCCUGCCUAGGCUCAAA